AAUGAGACAACACUUCAGAAAUAUUUCGCUCGAAUCCAUCAUUUUACUACCUACCGCUAGCUUCUUACCUUCGUUUUUUAAAAGCUUGUUCAAACUGUUUCCUUAUUUCCUUGAAAGCCUCAUGAUACAAAUGCAAAUAUAUUUAGUACAUUAUUAGGAAAAUCUCUAUGGAAAGGUUUCUUGAGGCAAUGAGCAAAAUACCAGUACAAUUCUAAGUGCACCAAUAUCAAAGUUACUGAGCGUCACGAUGUUGAGCAUUUGCAGUAAUGACUGCACAAGACAGUACAAAAAUAAGGCAUGACCAACCUAUCUUGGGCAGCCUGUGUCCAGAGGCACUUCUGUAUGCUGCACCUCCUGCCCACCUCCCCCAAGAUCACAUCAACUAAAAAAGGGAAGUGCAAAAGAGAUAAUUAGCUGACAGGUUUCUACUGUCGUAAGUCCCUAAGUCUCCAUAUAUCUUAUCCUAAAAAGGGCAACAGAACAGCAGUACUUCGUACAAUACUUCAAUAUUUUCGUGUCAGUACUGUUAAAAGAUUUCUGCUACAAAUUUAAUUUCAAGAGAGAAUGAAUCAAUUUAUUAUGCUGCAUAAAGGAAGAAAGAGUUGCUAAUCCUUUGAGAAGGCCUUAGCCAUGAGAGAAAGAGAGAUCAAUCUUAAACUGCAGUUGCAUUGAUAAUCUUGCUAGACUGCCUGUGUUUUCUCUGGGAGUUGUUUUAUUGCAUUUUUAAUAUUAAUCAUUUAUUAUUUACAUACAUUUCCCAAUGCGUUUAAAGCUCAAUUAUACUGUGAAUUUUUUGGAAGUUUUACCUCCCGAAAAAGAAAGAAAGGUCCUAGAAAGAAUGCAGCAUUUAAAAGGCAGUUUUGUAAUAUGACUAUGAGAGCAAUAAUAAUGCUGUAAGUAACUUAAAGCAGGCAGACACUGGACUCAAUCUUUGCAAUAGGCAACCGUGCUAUGAAAACAAUCUGUAAAAUUUUGGUACAAGUUUACCAAUUUUGCAACCUAAAGUUACUUGUCAGGGUCCUAUAGUUGGAAGGAGUAAAAAAAAAAAACAAAAAAACCAAAAAAACAAAAAAACCCCCAAGAAUGAAUCUCAGGUUAAUUGAGAUUGUUAGAGAAACUAAUUCUCAGUGGAUACAGUUAGCGUUUCCAGUCUUAAUCCUAGCUGUAUUCAUAGAAGGGAAAGACAGUAGGAGCUGCUACACAGUAUACACACAUCAGUGCAAUGUUCAAACUGAAAAAAAAAAGUUAAUUGUUUUAGGAAUGUGAGGUCUUAAGUACAAUGAAAGAAAAGAUGAUGAUAAUGCCUGUGUUGUCGUGAUGAGGACAGCCCAGCAGCAGAACAGACUGCCCAGAGAGGCUGUGCAGCCCUAAUCCUUGGAAGUUUGAGAAAAAGCCCUGAGAAACUUGGACCUCCAAACAGACUCUCCUCUGAGCAGGUUGAAGGAUUAGAGACUUCCUGAGGUCCCUUGAACUACUCUGCAAUCCUAUAAAUUGGCAUGUGUACCUAGUCACAUGCAGGAGGGUAUCAGGCCUCUGAAAUUGUCCCUAAGAAAACUCAGAAAGGGAAGUUACUUCAUUGCAGAUUUAUUAUGAUAGCAACAAUGCCAAUUAAUUAGCAAGCAUACAGGAAUAAAAGGUAGAUGUUCUAUUGUUAUCCAGCAAAAAACAGAUAAUACUUAUAUUUGCUACAUUUCACGAGAACUAAUUGCAUGGUUAAUCCCCAACAGCUUACUGCAUGCUAAAUUAGUUCAUUUUAUUUUUAGUGAAAAGCAAAUACACUACCACAGGUUGUUUCGACAUUGGCAGAGGCUCAGAUUCAAAAAGAUACCAGUCCUAAGCAUCUGUUAACAACAUUAAAUUAUUUCCAAUUCAAUCUAAGUAGGUUAUUCAGAUGAAUGGCAAGAGCAGGGACCACAGAAAGGUUGAGUUAUCCACUGAAGCCCAAUGCUUUUAUGGGGAGAUUACAAUUUAGGAUCCUAUGGACAAACAUAGUGCAGCAUGUGACUUUUGUUAACAAAUCCAGUUUGUCCCAAUUAAAUGGCAAAAUAUAUAGAUCACGGUUGUGUCUGUAUAUAUACUGCAUAUAGCUUUGUUCAUGUUAUUGGAAAAAUUAAGAAACCAGUAUUAUUUGAAAGUGGUUGUUCUCAUACUGUAACAGAUACAUGGAUGUGAUUCAUGUCAGUGUUCCAAAAAUUACUACUCUAUCAUUGCUGAAACAAUUGCUAAGUAAGCAAAACAAAAGCUCCCACUUCCCUCACCCAAAAUCAACUAGCAGAACACUUUUAAUAUGCUAGUCUAAUGAUCUCGGUAAACUGAGUUAGCAGGCAUACUGUUUUUAAAGUUCAAGAAAAGCGUACACGAAAACAUCACUAGCAGGAGAUAGUAUUGGAAUGGCUUCACAAGCUGUCAAGUACAGUGAAUUUCAUAAUACAUUCAGUUGUAGCUGUUUUAAUACCACAAUGCAUAUUUUCACUUUGUGUAAAAGCAAUGCAUAUGUUGAUGAGUAACUGCAAGCACUAAAUGAGGUUAAAAAACUUGCUGUGGAACGCAGAGGAUAAAGACACCAAGCACAAUAACAGUCUCAGGGCCACUGCUCUGAAGGAAUCAGACAGAAGUCAGGCUGAAACUGCACACUGAAGAGCAAUCAGUUGAAUGGAGGUGAACAGCGUCAUUACGGCACAAGGAGUUGAAUGGCCAGACACGUUGGUUCAAUCAGCAGGUUGUAGCGUGCAUGGAUUUGGUGGAUGAUGGCAACUCAACAAUGCUGAAGAUCCAUUCCAGGAAGCAGGGAAGGCUGACCCUUCACUGGCAAAGACUCUUCAGUAGUUUUUUCCAGGUCAGUAAGCUUAUUAAAGCUUAGCCUAGUGGUUUGCUAAAUCCUAGCUAUCUUUUGGGUAAGAAUCAAAAAAAUAAUUGCUUUAUACUUUGAAGCUGUGUACAUCCUCCUUGCAAAGUGCUUUUGUGCAAGACUAAGCAUGACCCAAACACUGACUCAAAACAGUUACAGUUGGUAAAAGUCUUCCUCAUUAAACCAUGAUAGCAGCAAUUCAAUGUUCAUCUCUAUUGCAUCAAGUUAAAGGAUGCUGUAAGCCCUGAACUACAAGAUGACAAUGACUGGGUCACCAAGGAGGAACACUGUAAGGUAACAGUAAUUUAUUUGUGACUAAAUAUACCUAAGUAAAACCAUUUUCCACAUCGCUUAAAAUGAACAGGUCAUUAUACUGCAUAUCACCCUUGAUUAUUGAAUGAUGUGAACAAGUAGAUGCAAGAAUGUAAAACAAGGCUGUAAGCGAUGCUGUGACAAACAAAGUGCUGUAAAUGCAGAAUUUCUUUAGGAAAGAUGUUAAGAAAACAAAGCUGUCUUAUUUGGAUUCUCUGGUGAACAAGUGGCUACACAUCCAACAUGCAUAUUGCUUUAUUUACUUUAUUUAGUUUGGCAAGAAGUUUAUGUAUACCAUAUGACUAGAAUCUUGUAGUCCAUACUUAUUGAUGUCUGUUCCCCUGUGACUUUCUGGCGCCCUCCUAAACACCAAGUUACAAAAUUAGCGUUUGUCUACCAAAACUUUCAUACAAUCAGAGUAACUUUGUUACAAGAGAGGAUAAAUUCAGAAUAAAAAAAAAAAA